UUCAUCAAUGGAACACAACUACAAUCCUCAAAGGCUUCGCACUAUCUUCAUCAAGAUAGUGUGAAGCAAAAUCAAUUUAUGGUGCCAACAAAAACUUCAUCAAUGGAGGACAAAUAUCAAUCUCAAAAGAUUUGCACUAUCUUCAUCAAGAUAGUGUGAAGCAAAAUCAAUUUAUGGUGCCAACAAAAGCUUCAUCAAUGGAGGACAAAUAUCAAUCUCAAAAGCUUUGCACUAUCUUCAUCAAGAUAGUGUGAAGCAAACUCAAUUUAUGGUGCCAACAAAAGCUUCAUCAAUGGAGAACAAAUAUCAA
rnacentral:lncRNA from 1 species